rnacentral:lncRNA from 10 species
CCCUGAAAGGUCAGAAGGCCGUCUUAUUCUCAAUAUGCAUUUUAUUUUAUUACCCAAUCUGCUCCUGACAUAAAAUAAAUCUCCAAAAAUUAAAUUCUGGCCCUCAAACCCCACAGCAGGACUUAAUUAACCUCACCUUCAAGGUGUACAAUAAUAGAGUAGAGGCAGCCAAGUAGCAACAUAUUUCUGAGUUGCAAUUCCUUGCCUCCACUAUGAGACAAACCUCAGCCAAUCUCCUGCACACAAGAACUCCAAACACCUGAACCGCAGCUGCCAGGGGUUCCGCCAGAACCUCCUCCCCCAGGAGCUUGUUACAAGUGCCAGAAAUCUGGCCACUGGGCCAAGGAAUGCCCACAGCCCGGGAUUCCUCCUAAGUCAUAUCCCAUCUGUGUGGGACCCCACUGAAAAUUGGACUGUUCAACUCACCUGGCAGCCACUCCCAGAACCCCUGGAACUCUGGCCCAAGGCUCUCUGACUGACUCCUUCCCAGAUCUUCUCGGCUUAGCAGCUGAAGACUGACGCUGCCCAAUCGCCUCGGAAGCCUACAGGAUCAUCACAGACGCUCUGGGUAACUCUCACAGUGGAGGAGCCCUGCAAGAAUCCAAGUAAAUAAAGCUAAACCUUCACUACUGAAAACCAGCUUCUAGGUAACUCAUGUAUCAUACACCUUAUAUCCUUGCAUGGAUUCCCCAAAUCUAGUCUCUGAGGGCUUGGAUCUUCCUCUGAUAGUUCUACUUCAUUCUGUCAAAGAUCCAAUUCCCGAAAGAGUUUUUUUCAUCAUCUUCAAACAUCCAGAAUUGGCUCACACAAUUACAGAGGCUGAGAGGCCAUACUAUCUGUCAUGUGCAUGCAGGAGAACCAGGAAUGCUGGUGGUGUAAUUCAGUACAAGUCAGAAGACCUGGGAACCAGGGAGCUGAUGGUGCCCUCAGUGUAUUGGAUGAUACCUGCCAAUACUGGGCUGCUGUAGUAUCCUAGGGGUCUACUCCAGUCCCUGGUUACCUCGAAUUUUCCAGUCCCUGGAUGUCUCACCAGUGAAGGUUGUGAAACAGCAAAAAUGGCAGCCUGCACCCUCCUCUGGGAGCUCCAUCCCAAGAAGAUGUUGGCACUUCUUAGGAAGGAGCCAUCCAUGUCUGAAGAGAAGAAAUGAUAAUUAACUUCAUCAUGUGGAAAGCUUUAGAAGGAAGUAUCUUGUCCUUCUGUCCAAACCCGCCUCCUCCUUACCACCCCCAAUAAAAAUAAAAGCCAAACAAAUAAAACAUUAGCAGUAGCUCUGAGUUUCUUCCUUUCACUUUUUCUCUCUCUUCAUGCCUUUUCUCCUCCAUUCCUUCCUUCUUUCAAAUCAUUUUUACUAGUUUAAGAGAAUAAUUCAAUCUAUAUUUAGAAAUCAGACUUAAAACUUCAAAAAUUAUACUGAAAUAGCUUCCCCUUAAAGGGUGAAACAGUCAUGAUAAAAAUAACAACCGAUAGAAUAAAAUAAUAUAAAAUUAGCUGAGUUUAUAGUUUCUUUUACACCUCCAUAAUUUAUGUGGAUUUGGAAAUACAGACAGUAUACUGAAAACUAAGAAGUUUUCUAUGAAUUAUGAGAAUUUGCAAUCCACAUAGGCUUAAGUCUAAUGUUAGAAGAUAAAACAAAUUGACCUUAAAUAACUUUCUGACAUAACCUCCCCAUUUCAUGGAUGAAAAACCCUAAAGCUCUCAUAAGUAAAGUGAUUUACUUCAGGACACAAACUAGUUGAUUUAGUUUGGAUGUUUGUCCCCUCCAAAUCUCAUGUUGAAAUGGAAUCCCCAGUGUUGGAGGUGGGGCCUGGUGGGAGGUGUUUGUGUCAUGGGGCAGAUCCAUUAUCCUUAUGAGCUGCUUGGUGCUAUCCUUGUGAUAGUGAGUGAGUUCUCAUGAAAUCUGGUUGUUUAAAAAUUUGUGGCACCUCCCCACCAGCCUUGCUCCUGCUCUUGCGGUGUGAUAUGCCUGCUGCCUCUUCACCUUACACCGUGAUUAUAAGCUUCCUGAGGCCUCACCAGAAGCAGUU